rnacentral:tRNA from 1 species
ACUUAAAUAGUUUAUUAAAAAAUAUUGGUUUGUGAGCCCAAAGAUGUGUGAAUACACUUUAGGUA